rnacentral:lncRNA from 1 species
UAGCAAGUACCUCUGAUCAAACGAUCCUCAUUCUCUGUCUGAGUCCCAGUCAAAGCAAAGACCCUACCAGUAGUCGGCGCCCUCUUAGGCUGAGUACACUGUGAACUAAUGUGACCCUCUCCAUUGCAAUUAAAGCACACAAUGUCUGUACGAUUGCAAUCAGCUACAACAUGACCUUUCUUGCCACACCGGACACACUUC